UAGAAAGGGCGGGGUGGAGGAGGGGGAAGGGCGGGGGUGAUGCCGCGCGGUCGCAGGCUUGGGAUGGUGUUCGCGCCUCCGAGACCCGGACAGAGGCAAGCAGGGGCGCCGUGGGUGCCAGAGAGGCGGAAGAGGAGGCCUGAUGGGGUCAGCACAGUGUUUCCGGAGCCCCACGUAUCAACAGCCCAGUGCCGGGAGCGCCAGGGGCUCCAAGGAAACUAUCAGACCCAUUCCCUGUCCCCAGGAAGCUUACCAUCCAGCGGCACAGAGAAGGCUCACCAUGGACUCCAUUCAAGAACGAGGCAGGAUAGGAUGUGAAUAAGUGCAAGGUGUGAGUGACUGACAGUAAGUGCAAGGGGGUUCAGAGAAGUGGCAGCUCCAAGCCUGCUUCUGCUGAAGCUGGAGGGCUUAUCUGUCAAGAACCCCCAACUCAGGAAGCUCUGCUCCAAGUGAGCUGAGUAAGGAGAGUCUGCCUCCAAGUUGUUCCUCUGCAGGUGACUGUGCUCCAUGCUAAAUCAUUCCUUGCACGGGCAGAAGCUGUUUGGCAUUGCACCAGUGUCUGAUUUUGUUUGAAUAUGGUGCCUUUGGCUUAAUCAGUCAGACAUGCAUUCAACAACUAUUUAUUUAUUUAUUUAUUUAUUUAUUUAUUUAUUAUUUUGAGACAGAGUCUCGCUCUGUCGCCAGGCGGAGGUUGCAGUGAGCCGAGAUUGAGCCACUGCACUCCAGCCUGGCAACAGAGUGAGACUGUCUCAAAAAGUAAAUAAAUAGAAACUCUUGGUUCCAUGCGUAGUCUAGCAUUUUGUAGCACUUCUAAUCACGAAGUUAUUUUUAAUAUUUGUUUGGUCUGUUAUACAAAAUGUAGACUGGAUGGCUUAUAAACUACAGAAAUCUCUCACAGUUCUGUAGGCUAGAAAGUCUAAGAUGAAGAUGCCAGCAGCCUGCUUCCUGGUUCAUACAAGGUCAUCUUCUCACUGUAACCUCACAGUGAGAGGAAGGGCCUAGGGGUGACUCUGGGAUCUCUUUUAUGAGGCACUAAUCCCAUUAAUGGGGGCCCCCCACCCUCAUGGCCUAAUCACCUCCCAAAGGCCCCACGAUUGCCUUGGGUGUUAGGAUUUCCACAUAUGAAUUUUAGGGGAACACAGACGUUCAGGCCAUAGCAAAUAUCUUGCCCAAAUAUCUCUAGUUCCAUCCUUUUGGUCACUCUCAGACCAGAACAUUUACUGAGUGAUUACUAUGUCCCACAAAAUUCUUAUUUAACCCUCAGAAAAACCGUCUGGGGGAAGCAUUGUUAUCACUCCUAUUUCAUGAGCAGUUAUGUAACUUGCCCCAGAUAAGACUUGGUUAUGGCACAGAUUCUGUGUUGGAGCCUUCAGACCACUCUACUUCCCAAGCAGGGGAGGAACAGAACAUUAAAGAUUUUCUUGGCCUUGGCUUUCAUUUCUUCAUCGUGGUUCUGAAAGGAAAAUUGGCUACAGUCUUAAAUGUAUGUGUGGGCCCACGCUAGAAGCUCAGCUCUCAGUGCCAGCCACACUGAGCCCUGGUCUCCCUAACUUCCGGGCCUUUACUCUGCUUGUCAUUGGGCUGAUAACCAAGAUCCAGCCUAGAGCACAAGAAGACAAACGCUGCGUGAUCUCGUGUGUAGAACCUAACAAAGUGGAACUCACAGAAGCAGAGAGUAGAAUGGUGGUUGCCUGUUGGAAUGGGGAGAUGGUCAGAGAAUGCAAACUUUCAGUUGGAUGGGAGGAAGAAGUUCCAGAGAUCUAUUGUGCCACAUGGUGACAAUAGUUAAUAACAAUGUACUGGGCGGGGGGUGGUGGCCUACGCCUGUAAUCCCAGCACUUUGGGAAGCUGAGGCAGACAGAUCACUUGAGGUCAGGAGUUCUAGACCAGCUUGUCCAACAUGGUGAAACCCCGUCUCUACUAUAAAACUACAAAAUUAGCCAGGUGUGGUGGUGUGCGCCUGUAAUCUCAGCUACUUGGGAGGCUGAAUCGCUUGAACCCAGGAGGUGGAGGUUGCAGUGAGUCGAGACUGCGCCACUGCCCUCCAGCCUGGGUGACACAGUGAGACUCUGUUUCAAAAAAACAAAAAAAGCAAUGUACUGUAUACUUGAAAAUUGCUCACAGAGAUUUUAAAUGUUCUCACCAUUACAAAAUGAUAAAUAUGUGACAUAAUGCAUAUGUUAAUUAGCCCGAUUUAGUGAUUCCACAGUGUAUACAUAUAACAAAACAUGUUGUACACCAUAAAUGUAUACUAUUUUUAUUUGCCAAUUAAAUAUAUUUUUUUAAAGUGGAUACCUUCCUGCUGUCCUUCCUGAGCACAACCUGGCUGAAAACCUGGAGGUCACAACAGUACAAAGAAUCAAAGUCAAGAUCUUGUGCCAGAGAGCAAAUGAACUCUUCCUCUUGCUGAGAAAACCCACCCUGCUCACCUAAACCCUGGCCUUGCCUGGUAAUUCCAUCCAUGCGCCUGGAAGGCCCCAGACAUCAAGGCUCUGAGGGGCCAGGCACGGGGAGAACCCAGCAGUGCCCUGCCCUGCAGUCUGAGCUACCAGAUUCCUUGUGAAGAUAAUUUGAGGACCAUGACUCACCCAACCACAUUUCCUGGGGCCUCAAAUUGAAAAUUCAGGAUGGGCUUUUCUAUAUGACUGGCUGAUAUCCAACUAUGCCAUGGUCUUUACAUGCCAUGAACAUUCUUUCCUGCCAGAGUUCUAAGAAUCUGUGUUCUCUGCCUUAGACCUUCUGCAGAUGAGCCCACAGGAAGCUCCACGUGUAGCUGAGCUACAUGCACCAGGCCUCAGUUUGCCCCAAGUCCCCUGUGUACUCUCUCAUGGCCUGUGGCCAAGAAAUGUAUUCUCUCACUUUGGACUUAGGAGUCCAAAGAGAAGCCCAGAAACAAAAUUGCUUGAACUUGAAUUUGUGUGCGUGCGCACGUGUGCACGUGGUGGUGAAGGUGUAUGUUUUCGGCUGUUCUAUGCGUCACUGUCACCAAACUCCCAAAUAAUAGUAACAUUUGUUUAGAUGAUGUCUGCUGACAAAUCACAAACACGACGCUAACUCGCAACUCUCUGCUCCACUGGCACAGAAUAGGGCAUGGAGCCUGGUGCUGGGUGUCAGCCCAUGGUGUUGGGUGUCAGUUCACAGGCUGGGUAAGGGAGGGAAAAUAAUCCAUUCUUUGAUAUUAGACAUGACCCAAAAUUUCCUGCUGGCAGCCAAAGGCCUCCUCGCUCAGAGAAGUCAUCUGAAAAAAGCUAGCCCAGGGGCAGGAAAGGGCCUCAGGCUGGCGCCCCAGAAGGUGGCCCAUCAGUCACUCUGGGAAGACAGAUAGACAUCGUCAGUCUCUUUUUACAAGUCAAGACAGUAAAAUCAAAGUAAUAGUUUCCUGGCAGGAAGAAAGAGAAUUGCUGGAGCGUUGGAGAGCCAUCUCUUAACCUCUGGGGUGACUCAAAGGAAGAGUUGCCUGGUCUGAGAACUUUAGACCAAAGAAUUUAAAUCAUGUGAACUGAAAAUGCAUGUGUAUCCAUAUAUACAUGUACAUAUAUGUUUAUAUACCCAAUAUAGAAAGGUUACCAGAGACAAAGAAAUAGCAACAAUAGUUGUUUUGGGGAAGGGAAAGGAAGGGCUGUGGGGUGAGGAAGCAUACUUUCACUGAAUAUC
rnacentral:lncRNA from 10 species